UUCUAGUGAUUUUCAUCUAAUAUGGUGUAUUUGGAUCAACUUUAUUUUACCAUUAGUAGAUUGUCUGUCUAUGAUGCGUUGAGUGGGCGUAGGCCUGUGGUACCUACGUGUGCGUGGGUCCAGUACCUAUUGGACAGGCGUCUAUGACGUCGGGGCCUUAGGUGUGAAUGUCUACAGAGGGGCUGCUAUCAGGCAUAAAUAUACGGGGCCCCUUGAUACGGGAGCGUACGACCUCCGACCCUGACGUUAGACACGCUAUUCUAAGUUAGUAAACGCGUCGUAGCAGUUGGAAGAAAAAAAAAACAUCGAUCCGUCCUGCACAACUAUGCCGACUGACUCGAAUCGCGGUGCCGGAGGCGAGAGCGUGAAACAGCAGCAGGGUCCACGUGGAAGUUUGCCUGAUAUUCGGCUCAACAUUCAAAGACCGAUUCUAGCAGACCAGACUAAUGUGCUGACAAGCGGUAGUUUUGUACCUAUCGAGGCCAAUGUCAUUCAGCGAACCCCCGGACCAAAUCGACUGUCCAAGAAGAAUUUGAAAAGAUCGGCGGGGGUAGUGGUGGCUAUACCCUGUUCACCACUGGCCCUAGAACAGCUACAAAUUCCUUAUAAAAAGGCUCGCAAGGAUGCCACACAUAAUGGUUUAGCUCCGGAGAAUAUUACCCAG
ensembl:lncRNA